UGCAGUCGAGCGCGCCCUUCGGGGUGAGCGGCGGACGGGUGAGUAACGCGUGGGAAUAUGCCCUUCUCUAAGGAAUAGCCUCUGGAAACGGAGAGUAAUACCUUAUACGCCCUUUGGGGGAAAGAUUUAUCGGAGAAGGAUUAGCCCGCGUUAGAUUAGGUAGUUGGUGGGGUAAUGGCCUACCAAGCCUACGAUCUAUAGCUGGUUUGAGAGGAUGAUCAGCCACACUGGGACUGAGACACGGCCCAGACUCCUACGGGAGGCAGCAGUAGGGAAUCUUAGACAAUGGGGGCAACCCUGAUCUAGCCAUGCCGCGUGUGUGAUGAAGGCCCUAGGGUCGUAAAGCACUUUCGCCAGAGAUGAUAAUGACAGUAUCUGGUAAAGAAACCCCGGCUAACUCCGUGCCAGCAGCCGCGGUAAUACGGAGGGGGUUAGCGUUGUUCGGAAUUACUGGGCGUAAAGCGCACGUAGGCGGAUUAGUAAGUUAGAGGUGAAAUCCCAGGGCUCAACCCUGGAACUGCCUUUAAUACUGCUAGUCUUGAGUUCGAGAGAGGUAAGUGGAAUUCC
rnacentral:rRNA from 1 species